rnacentral:rRNA from 1 species
UACGGGGGGGGCAAGCGUUGUUCGGAAUUACUGGGCGUAAAGGGCUCGUAGGCGGCCAACUAAGUCGGAUGUGAAAUCCCCAGGCUUAACCUGGGAACUGCAUCCGAUACUGGAUGGCUUGAAUCCGGGAGAGGGAUGCAGAAUUCCAGGUGUAGCGGUGAAAUGCGUAGAUAUCUGGAGGAAUACCGGUGGCGAAGGCGGCAUCCUGGACCGGCAUUGACGCUGAUGAGCGAAAGCCAGGGGAGCGAACGGG